UACGAAGGGGGCUAGCGUUGUUCGGAAUUACUGGGCGUAAAGCGCGCGCAGGCGGUUCUUCAAGUCAGUGGUGAAAGCCCGGAGCUCAACUCCGGAACUGCCAUUGAAACUGUAGAACUUGAGGAUGAGAGAGGUGAGUGGAAUUCCCAGUGUAGAGGUGAAAUUCGCAGAUAUUGGGAAGAACACCAGUGGCGAAGGCGGCUCACUGGCUCAUUUCUGACGCUCAGGCGCGACAGCGUGGGGAUCAAACAGG
rnacentral:rRNA from 1 species